AUGGAAUGAAGGGAGGUUGUAGCUGGCUGUUAUUUGCAGCAUGUGCACGCCUUUCUAAAUUAUCCAAUUUACACCUGUGCACUAUGGGGAGUACUUCUGGAUGGGCUGACCUGAAAGAAAUACUCUGUCUUUAUACAUACACACGAAAAGUUUAGAAUGUUUAUUUGGGAUAUAUGGAAAUAAAAAA
rnacentral:misc_RNA from 1 species